rnacentral:rRNA from 1 species
UGGGCAACCUGCCCCUCUCUCUGGGAUAACCCCGGGAAACCGGAGCUAAUACCGGAUACUCCGGCUGGAUCGCAUGGUCCGGCCGGGAAAGGUCCGCCGGAGAGGGAUGGGCCCGCGGCCUAUCAGCUUGUUGGUGGGGUCAUGGCUCACCAAGGCGACGACGGGUAGCUGGUCUGAGAGGAUGGCCAGCCACAUUGGAACUGAGACACGGUCCAGACUCCUACGGGAGGCA